rnacentral:rRNA from 1 species
AAAGGGUGCGUAGGCGGUUUAUUAAGUCAGUGGUGAAAGACGGUCGCUCAACGAUUGCAGUGCCAUUGAUACUGGUAGACUUGAGUGGGAUUGAGGUAGCUGGAAUGGAUAGUGUAGCGGUGAAAUGCAUAGAUAUUAUCCAGAACACCAAUUGCGUAGGCAAGUUACUAAGUCUCAACUGACGCUGAGGCACGAAAGUGUGGGUAUCAAACAGGAUUAGAUACCCGGGU